rnacentral:lncRNA from 1 species
CUGAUCAAAGCUAUUGGCAUAAAUUCUCAUCACAAAUGUAACGACUGCAAUAUUGUCUUACAAAAAUUAGUAAAGCAUAAAUUAAUUAAGUUUUCAGAGUAUUAGCAAAAUGCUAGCCAUUUCUUCUUCUCCUUUGUUUUCUGACCAUUUUUGCUGGCUUUUGGAGGAUCCCAUAAGCCAUCAUUUUAUAAACACUGCCACAGAUACUUCAGAUAAUUCAGCUGCUGCACUUCAUUCAUCAUCAUCAUCUCAAACAAGACUUCUUGAACACUGCGAUGCCAAAAAAUUUGAUCAGAUUAAUAAUAAUGGUAAUCAACCUGAUCAGAUGGUAAAGAAGCUUAAUCACAAUGCUAGUGAGCGUCAUCGCAGAAAAAAAUCAAUAGCUUAUAUUCCUCUCUUCGCUCUUUACUUCCAGCUUCUGACCAUAAGGUAUUAUGGAUUAUUUAAAACAAAAAAAAAUAACUAUCCUAUUUUUCAAUUCAAUCUCUGAGCUUAAGAUUUAAACUUAAAUUUGCGCUGACAAGACUUGAUCAUUUUUUAUGUUCACAGAAAAAACUAAGCAUUCCAUCCACAAUAUCAAGAGUUCUAAAGUACAUACCAGAGUUACAAAAUGAAGUGGAAAGACUAAUUGAGAAGAAAGAAGAUCUUACAUCAAGAACAAUCUCUAAUAAUGAAAAUUCAGCUGAUUUUAACAAGCAAAAAAGAAGAGGAGGAAAUGAGAGCUCUUCAUUAGUUAUUUCAGCAACAGAAAUAGGUGACAAAGAAGUGGUGAUUCAGAUAUCUACUUUGAAGAUCAAUAAAGAUUCAUUUGAUGAGGCUGUAUCAGACUUAGAGGAUGAAGGACUUCUUCUACCAAAUUCAUCUUCUUUUGAAACUUUUGAAGACAUCGUCUUCUAUGCCUUGCAUUUUCAGGUAUGGAAUGUUUUUUUUUCAAAAUAAGGAAUUUAAUGUGAUGCAUAACAUACAUCAUAUAAAUCGAAAUGGAGAGAGUAGCAUCUUUUCGUAUAUAGUUUGUUUGUUCUAUUAUCCUAAUUCCUAAUUGUUGUUUUCCCCUUUUGUGUAUUAUUAAGCAGGUUCAAGGAACAAUGGUAGUGUUUAAUCAAAAAAUAGAAUUUCAGUCAAAGCUAGAAUUUAGAAGAAAACGGGGUACUGAUAAUCAAAAGAGUAUAUAGAGGAAAGUAAUUUGAGGUAAUUAGAGUGUAAUCAAGAGAAAAAACAAGUAAAUCAAAGUAUAUUCCGAUAAUAUCUCUUGUUCCUACAAUUGAUCAGAUACCUCCCUUUUAUAGGUAUCUUAAAGAUAUGCGUUUUCCCCAAAUCAUAAUGAGGCUAUUAUGAAUAAUUAAAGACAUUGAAUACUACGUUACAUAAUCAUUAUAAUCAAUACAAAUUCCCUAACGUAUCCAGUAUUUAAUACCUGUCAAAUUCUGUAUCUGCGCUCUUUACUGUGGUCAGAUCCAUUCCUUUUGAUUCUUGGAUAUAAAUGACUUAAACAUGUACGGCCACCCGUGCCUCUUCCUUUGUCUUUGCUCGUUUCUAUUGUUGCUCGUGCCUCUUGAUUAAUUGUAAUUCUUUGACUAUUUGACCAGUCCACGUGUCUCGACACGUCAUCCUUAUAUAAAUGUAAUUUUUUCAAAUACAGAUAGUCCCCCUAUUUUCCAUUUAUUCAUCAGUUAAAUAUUUGGGAAGUGGUUUUCAUUAAAACGAGAAUUUUUGUCACCAUUAAUGUUAUGACAAAAUUGACGCUUCAAUUGUCACUUCCAUUUAAUACUCCGUACACGUAUCAAUUUUUCAUUGGUUCUGCAGUUUUUGCAGCCUUUUUCAAGGUUUUUACGGUUCCACUAUUUACGAAGUGCCAGUUAUCAUAAUUGUGAUCCUUCCUUCACUGCACUUUUAUCUUUGGCGGUCGAUUAUCAAUAUAAGUAUAACUUCUUUCCUUGUCUUUUACCUCAUAAAAUUUUACUGAACACUUAAUUUCUCCAUUCUCUGUUUACUUCUUCUUUACAUCAUUCCUCUUCGCUAUGUCUUCACAAACCCUCUCUCUCCAGAAUCUCCAUUGUCGAUUAUUUCCCCAAUGCCCCUGUUAGGCAUAGAAGGGGAGGUAGGCUUCGUAGCUUAGGAUCUACUCGAGGUGGUUCGUCUAUGCCUUCUUCUAGUUCUGGUCCCUCUUCUAGAACCAGAGGUUCCCUUUCUCACAAAUCUUCUUCUAGGAGUAAAGAACCUUCUGAACCAUUACGCAAACCUUUAGUAGAAGAGAUAGUCCCUACAGAAUUAUCUUUUUACCACGAUAGGGAAUCUCUAAGAAACUAGACUGCCACUUUGGAUCGUGUCGAUACUUACCCCGCUCAAAUUACAGAAAUUUUGACUCCUGUGGUUCGUAAGGAUUGUCAUUGGAGUAACGAUUUUCCCAUUAUUAUCCCUAAUCUGAAUCAGAGGAUAACUUCUUAUUUAACUGGGUUUUCUUUUGUUUACAUAUACCCUUUUACUUUAGGGUUCAGACCAACGAUUGACCCAGUCAUUCUCGAAUUUUGCCGUUUCUUCAACGUCUGUUUGGGCCAAAUUGGUCCGAUCAUAUGGAGGGUUGUUACCUGUUUAAGGCAUUUAGCCACUAAAGCCAAAGUUCCUUUUACUUUCCCCCACUUGAUUCAUCUUUACUCACCUGGGCUUUUUCGCAAUGGUGUUCUUACACUAGUAGCCAGGAGUAAGAGGGUUUUGGUGAGUCCCGAAGAUGACAAAGACCGCGACUGGUAUGCCCGAUUCAUUGCUUCCACCACUGUUGGUUUAGUGGGUGAGGAUAAUGUUCCCUUCCCUGAGAAGUGUAAUUUUGCACGUAAGUCUUUUAACCUUCUCGUACCUUUUUUCCUUCAAGUUUGCCAACUUCUCUAAUUUUGCUUUUGUUAUUUUUUUCUUAGCUACCAUGGGAGUUGUGGGGGAUGUUCCCAACUUCCGUGGUUGGGUAGAUAAAUUGCUGAAGAUCACACCGAUGAACGGUAGGUCUUGGAAAACACUUUCUAACUAUUUUGGUUGGAAGGUAAAGACUCAUGAUAAGAAUUUAUAUUUUGUGCCUUUCGUAUCUAUAUUCUCUUUUAUUGCUCUAAUUUCUAUCCUUUUUUUGUCUGGAUUUGCUAUUCGAGGAGUUACUGCUGAAGUAGUUGCGGCUUCUCGUGAUUCCUAGGGAACCCAUACUCCUUUAGGAACCCAUAUCUCUUUAGAAAGAGCCCGAGAAAUAGUUUUGGGUUCUUCUUCUGCAAAAAGGAAAGUUGCAGAAGAGGAAGACUCUGAAGAAGAGGGAGAUGAGGUCUCCCUGGUGACAAGGCCUCGAGUUAGGAGAUGCAUCGUAUCUGAUGACAAAGCUGAAGUGUCGGUUUCUCUUACCGAACCUGUUGAAACUCCAAUAAUAAUUCCGGACGAUGACGUCACUCCCCACGAUACUCGUGAGUCUAUUGACCAACUUUUCAUCAGCAGAUUUGGCCGUGAAGAUGUAGGACCUAUUUUAGACGAAGUACCCUUAUCUUCUUUUCCAACUCCCAUGCUUGUGGUUCCUUCCUUACCGGCCCCAGCUAUUUCCGUUCCUUCUUCUACUGCUUGUACCUCUUCUCCGGCUCCUCCUUUGACUAUUCCCCCUCCUAUCGUUCAUCAUACAAAAGCGGGCUCUUCAAGUAGAAGUGCCGAUAUGAGGCGGGUAACUAUUGAAGUUCCUGGUGAGAGCAGCCUUUUGAGAAAGUCAGGUCAGGUAGAUGCAUGGUUGGAGCCUUUAAUCGGCACAAUUGAAAAAGCCAAGUUGGAGAGUCAUAGUUCCCUGACUUUAAUGAAUGAUAUCGUACAUGCUACUUUGAAGGUACUUUCCUUCUCUUCCUUUUUUGCUUUAUAAUUAGACUAUCUUUGAGGAUUCUUACUUCCUUUUCCCCUUUUCAGGCCAAUCUUAUUGGCAUAGAAAUGAUGAAAAGAAUCGCCCCCUUGGAGAAGAUAGCACGUGACUCUCAUUCGGAAGGAGCAAUUUGAGCGUGCACAGAUUGAUAUAGAAGACUUACAAGAGAGCAAGAGUACCUUAGAGCAGCGAGUGCGGGCUUUAACUUCAGAAUUGGCGGUUGCAAAAGCUUCUUCAAGCCAAGCAGAAAAAGACAAAGAACAUCUCGAGUCCUCCUUCUCAGAGCAACUAUCUAAAGCUAGUGAAGAAAUCAAAGAGUUAAAAGCUCUUUUGGACCAAAAGGAAGUUUACGCUGGGGAGCUCGUGCAAAACUUGACUCAAGCACAAGAGGAUCUCAGAAUCGCAGCUGAUAAAGUGCGUGUUUUAGAAUGAUCCCAUGACUCUCUUCAAGUUUCCCACAACUCCGCCUUGGCUGAAAAUGAAGAGCUAAAGAAUGAGAUCGCUGCUUGGGAAAAGGAUUAUGAGAUCCUUGAAGAAAAAUCUGUUGUCGAGACAAGUUGGGCAUUUUUGAAUUCUCAUCGUGAUACCCUACUUGAAGCUGGUCAAGAAAACUUCAACCUGGAAUUGGAGUUAGCUAAGAUCACCAAAACCAUUGAAAAGGCUCAACAAACUCAGGACUUCCCUUCUCCCGCGGCUGAAGCUCCCAUGAAUGUUGAAGCUGAUAUGGGUAUCCCAAUUCUUUCAAGCCCAAUCAAAUUUGUUACUACAAGCCAGACUGAAACUGCAUCUGUUGAUAUAGCUGCCCAAAUUGAACCCACUGUUGUCGAUGCUCCUGCUUCGGUUCCUCAAACUUCUCACUGACCGGUUUUGAACGUUCUAGUGAUUUUGCUUUUGUUUUGGAAAACUAUAAUCAGACCCUUAACUUUAUUUGAGGGUUGAUUUUGAAGUCGUAAGUCCCCAAGUCUUUUAUGGGGCAGGCAAUCUAUAUAGACAAUCUCGUAGUUGUAUGACUAAGUUUGUCCUUAGUCUUAGAUUUUUACAUAUUAAGAAGUUCCUCGUGUUAUUAUUAUAAACUUCUGUUAUCUUUAUUCUUGCCUUAAUUUUUAAGGACUUACAGAAUAAUUUGCAUUUUUAUUCUUCGAAAAUGCUUCUGUUAUCCUCAUGACUAAUUAAUUUGAACAUGAGUUUUAUAAAAGAGGGCCCUUUUAUAUUUCGACACUUAAUGAAGUAGACGUCUCAACUUUAUAAUGGUGUUAACAUACGAUAAAAGAAAUAGGAACACACAUGUUUCUUUGAAAUAACUUUGACAAGUUGUUAUUGGAACUUAUAAUUCUUUACAUGUAUUUGAAGUACAUCUAUAACUUUCUCGUAACUAUUUUUCUUGUAACAGAUUUUUACAAAAGAAGAGUAAUAUGUACGGGGUUUUUCCUUAUAACCCGUUUUAGUAUAUGGCCUUUACCCUAAUACCCUAAAUAUAAUGAGGUUUUUGUUUCUCUUUAGCCUCAGCUCGUGGCUCUAUCUCGUAACUUUUAUUCUGCACUUGACUCUUUUAGGCUAUUUACUCUGCACUUGACUUUUUUAGGCUUGAUUUUCCCUCAAUCUUCUUUUCCUUCUUUAUACACAUGUCUAUGUAUAUUAUGUAGUCCCCCAAGUGUUUGAGUGUUGAAGUAUGAAGCCUCGAGCACUUGAUAGUUCCUCUCAUUUGGUUGUUUUCCUGAAAAGGAAAAACACACGGGACUCGGAAGGGCGAUUAUAGAUGAAAACUGCGUACCCCGUAUUUAUUUCUAUCAGAAUAGUUGUAACCCUAGGCCAGGAAUUUUAGGUUACUCCGUGUGCCUUACAGGUCGUAACUCAUCAUUUAGUAUGGUAUAGCUUUUUGCCUAUCAUCUAAAAUUGUUAGUAAAAUUUUAACAAUUCAAAAAUGAAAUAUAAAAUGGUUAUACCUGACCGUGGGUUUCCCUUAGAAAUAGUAUCUCUUCAAAUGAACAGCAUUCCAAUGUGAUGGUAGUACUUUGCCAUCCAUUGUUUCUAGUUCAUAUGCUCCUUUUCCUGCAACAUCACGAACUCUGUAGGGUCCUUCUCAUGUUGGACUUAAUUUUCCUGCGUUAGCUGCUUUUGUAGAUUGAAAAACCUUUUUAAGCAUGAAGUCCCCAAUUUUGAAGAACCUGAGGCGUGUUUUUCUAUUGUAGUAUCGUUCUAUGACCUGUUUUUGUGCUGCCAUUCUUAUUAGUGCAGCUUCUCUCCUUGCUUCGAGUAAAUCUAGGUUGACUCGCAUCUCCUCGUCAUUAGAUUCUUGUGUCGCCUGCGUGAAUCGGGUACUCCGUUCUCCUAUAUCGACUGGAAUCAAAGCUUCAGUUCCAUAAACCAAUGAAAACGGUGUUUCUCCCGUACUAGUUUUCGUCAUCGUACGAUAUGCCCAUAAAGACCAGGUAGCACUUCUGGCCAAUUUCCUUUUGACUCUUCUAAUCGUUUCUUCAAAUUGUUGAUGAUGACUUUAUUUGUUGAUUCUGCUUGCCCAUUACCCACUGGAUGAUAAGGCGUAGACGUUAUUCUUUUAAUUUGCCAACUUUGAAGGAAUUCCGUGAUCUGAGCUCCUAUAAAUUGAGGGCCAUUAUCACAUACGAUCUCCUUUGGUACACCAAAUCGACAUAUGAUAUUCCGCCAAAUAAAAUCUCGUACUUCCUUUUCUCGCACCUGUUUGAAUGCACCUGUCUCCACCCAUUUAGUAAAAUAAUCAGUGAGAACAAGCAAAAACUUUACCUAUCCUUUUGCUUGUGGUAAUGGACCCAUGAUAUCCAUUCCCCAUUUCAUAAAUGGCCAUGGCGCAAUGACUGGGUGUAAUAGCUCCGUAGUUUUAUGCAUAUUGUUAUCGUACCUUUGGCAUUUAUCACAUUUGGCUACCAAACUUUCCGCUUCUUCUUCCAUUUUAGGCCAGUAAUAACCUGCCCUAAUUAAGGUUCUUACCAGUGAUCUUCCACCUACGUGAUUCCCGUAAUGUCCCUCAUGUAUUUCUCUCAUUACAUACUCUGUUUGUGAAGGUCCAAGACAUCUUGCCAAGGGAUCACCGAACAUUUUACGAUAUAGAUUGCCUUGUUUUAAGCAGUACCGAGUAGCCUUUCUUCGUAGCACAUANNNNNNNNNNNNNNNNNNNNNNNNNNNNNNNNNNNNNNNNNNNNNNNNNNNNNNNNNNNNNNNNNNNNNNNNNNNNNNNNNNNNNNNNNNNNNNNNNNNNNNNNNNNNNNNNNNNNNNNNNNNNNNNNNNNNNNNNNNNNNNNNNNNNNNNNNNNNNNNNNNNNNNNNNNNNNNNNNNNNNNNNNNNNNNNNNNNNNNNNNNNNNNNNNNNNNNNNNNNNNNNNNNNNNNNNNNNNNNNNNNNNNNNNNNNNNNNNNNNNNNNNNNNNNNNNNNNNNNNNNNNNNNNNNNNNNNNNNNNNNNNNNNNNNNNNNNNNNNNNNNNNNNNNNNNNNNNNNNNNNNNNNNNNNNNNNNNNNNNNNNNNNNNNNNNNNNNNNNNNNNNNNNNNNNNNNNNNNNNNNNNNNNNNNNNNNNNNNNNNNNNNNNNNNNNNNNNNNNNNNNNNNNNNNNNNNNNNNNNNNNNNNNNNNNNNNNNNNNNNNNNNNNNNNNNNNNNNNNNNNNNNNNNNNNNNNNNNNNNNNNNNNNNNNNNNNNNNNNNNNNNNNNNNNNNNNNNNNNCCUCCAAUCUCAUGUUAAGUUAUUAAAAUUUACCUCAUUCACAUCAGGAUCAAGAACUGAAUGAAAUAAAUGUAUCAUUGAGGCAUUUGCAUCAUUUGCCACGUCGGCUGCAUAUGCGAGAUUAGCUAGGGCGUCUGCUUCAAGAUUUUCGUCCCUGGGUAUUUGUCUAACUUUCCAAUUUUGAAAUUGUUUUAUCAAUUCCCGUACCUUUUCCAAGUACUGCUGCAUCCUUGCUUCCCUGGCUGUAUAAGUCCCCAUCAUCUGAUUGACUACGAGUUGUGAAUCACUCUUGAUUAUAAUCUGAUUUAUGGCAAGUUCCCGUGCCAGUUCUAAACCUGCAAUCAUAGCCUCAUAUUCUGCCUCAUUGUUAGUUAUGGAAUGACAUUUGAUAGCUUGCCGAAUGGUUUCACCCGUAGGUGGUACCAAUACGACCCCUAAACCUGCUCCUUUUAUGUUAGACGAGUUGUCAGUGAAUAAAUUCCAAGUCCCUGGGUUAGCUCCAUUGAAUACCUGCAAUUCUUUUUCUGCUUCUAACUGCAUUCCCUGGCUAAAAUCAGCCAUGAAAUCAGCUAAUACUUGUGAUUUUAUAGCAGUUCUAGGUUGGUAUGCAAUUUCAUAUUCACUUAACUCUAUUGCCCACUUAGCUAACCUACCUGAUAACUCAUGCUUAUGUAAUAUGUUACGUAAAGGGAAGGCAGUUACUACAACGAUAGGAUGACACUGAAAGUAAGGUCUUAUCUUUCUAGAUGCCAUGAUUAACGCAAAUGCAAGUUUUUCUAACUGAGGAUACCUCUUCUUCGCACCUAACAAAGAUUUACUUACGUAAUGGAUAGGGGAUUGUUUACCUUGUUCUUCUCGGACCAAAACAUCGCUUACCGCCACUUCCGAAAUAGCAAGGUAGAUGAGUAGUUUUUCCCCAGCCUUUGGUUUUUCCAGCAAAGGUGGAUUUGAUAAGUACAUUUUCAAAUUCCUAAGUGCCUGUUGACAUUCCUCAUUCCAUUCAAAAUGAUCCUGCUUCUUAAGGGCUGAGAAGAAUUUGAAACACUUUUCUGACGAUCUAGAAAUGAAUCUUCCCAAGGCUGCAAUUCUUCCUGUUAAUCUUUGAACUUCUUUCUUGUUUGAAAGUAUGUCAGGAAUUUCCUCAAUGGCUUUAAUAUGUGUAGGAUUCACUUUAAUACCACGGUUAGAAACAAGAAAACCCAAAAACUUACCUGAACCAACGCCAAACGCACAUUUUUCGGUAUUUAGUUUCAUAUUAAAUUUGCGCAAAAUCGAAAAUGUGUCAGAUAAGUGUGAUAUGUUAUCCUUUGAGUACUGAGUUUUAACAAGCAUAUCAUCUAUAUAUACCUCCAUGGUCUUUCCUAAAUGCUCUUGAAACAUUUUGGUAACUAACCUCUGAUACGUUGCACCUGCAUUCUUUAGGCCAAAGGGCAUUACCUUAUAACAGUAAGUCCCCCUUUCUGUUAUGAAUAAAAUUUUUACUUCAUCUCUUGGAUCCAUUUUAAUCUGAUUAUAACCUGAAUAUGCAUCUAAAAAACUUAACAGCUUGUGACCUGCAGUUGCAUCAAUCAAUUGAUCUAUGCGGUAGUGGAAAAGAAUCUUUAGGGCAGGCUUUGUUAAGAUCUGUGUAAUCUACACAAACCCGCCACUUACCGUUCUUUCGGAACCACAACAGUGUUAGCUAACCAGUUAGGAUACUUUACCUCUCGAAUGGAACCAAUUUUUAGCAAUUUUCAGACUUCUUCUUGAAUCACCUGAUUCUUGAAAGUCCCUUGCUUUCUUUUCUUUUGCUUCACAGGGGAGUAUGAUGGAUCUUCAUUUAGUUUAUGAGUCAUAACUUCUGGUGGUAUUCCUGUCAUGUCAGAGUGGGACCAAGCAAAGCAGUCCAUGUUAGUUUUCAAAAAUUCAGUUAACUUACCUUUCAUCCCUUGGUCAAGAUUGGCUCCUACAAAGACUUUUUUAUUAGGCCAUUGAGCAAAUAACACGACAGGCUCUAAUUCAUCUAUCGUUGUUUUGAUAUUUUCAUUCUCUUCUGGUUCUUGAAUGGUAUCAGGCAUUGAGUCUACGUCUGUUUGCCCUUGUUCAGUCGAGGCUUGUGCUGCGAAGUCCUCAACUGCCUUCUGUGAUUGCUAUUUACCUUCACUUCUCAUACUUGUAUUUGCAACAGAGUUGAUAGCCCUAGAAAUAUGUUGAUCUCCACGAAUUUGACAGAUUCCCCAUAGCGAUGGAAAUUUAAUAACUUGAUGCAAGGUCGAAGGAACAACAUCCAUUUCGUGGAUCCAGGGUCUUCCAAGAAUCAUGUUGUAAGCCAUCUCUAUGUCUACUACCUGGAACUUUGUAUCUUUGACGACCCCUUCAGCAAAUGUGGUAAGUAUUACCUCUCCUUUCGUGACAACACUGGAAUUAUCAAAUCCAGAUAGAGUAUGCGCCUUUGGUAUUACUCUAUCAUUAGCUUGCAUCUCAUGUAAUACUCUUAGCAAAAUAAUGUUGACAGAACUACCUGGAUCAAUCAAUACUCGUUUCAUAUUAGUAUCAUAUACAAUUAAAGAAUUACCAGUACAUCGUUAUGGGGGGUUGAUACACCAUCUGUAUCUGCAUCAUUGAAUGUAAUAUUGUCUUCCUCUAAAACAUGCCGCACCCGUUUUCCUUGGGUAAUUGUUACUUUGGAAAUUUUGUUAGCUGCAGUAUAUGAUAUACCAUUAACGUCUUUACCCCCACUUAUAACGUUAACAGUUCUUUUGGGAGAAGGUGGUUUUGGAGGGUCCUGCCUGUUCUUCAUGUAAGCCUGCUUGCCUUUCUCACUGAACAAAUCAGUAAGAUAUCCUUGUUUUAAUAAAUGAUCAACUUCACUUUGUAAGAAUUUGCAAUCUGUUGUUUUGUGCCCGUGGUCAUUAUGAAACUCGCACCAAUGGUCAGGGUUGCGCCUGUUUGGAUUCGAUCUCAUUUCCUGUGGCCACCGAACCUUAUCUCCCAUGCUUCUCAAAACAGCCACGAGCUCAGAGGUGUUGACAUUGAAGUUAUAACCACCGAAUCUUGCUUUUAAACUUCUAUCGUCAUCUCGUGACUCUCUGUUGUUUCGCUUAUUCCUGAAUUUUGAUGAAGAACCUAAUUCUUUAUUUCUUGAUCUAUGAUCGUACCUUUGAUUAUCCUGCUUUGACCGUGAGUCUUUUCCCGAAGGUCCCAUAUAAGGCUCGUACUUGUUUUUACCGGACCUUUUUUCGGUCUCCGCCCGUCUCGAACUUAUCUUUUCNNNNNNNNNNNNNNNNNNNNNNNNNAGUAUCUUCCUCAAUCCUCAACUUCGUGCUAUACCUGUUAUAAACAUCAUUCCACGUUGUAGCUGGGAAUUCUCGAAGGUUUUUCUUAAGUCUCCUCGUAGCUUCCGAACUCUUUUCAUUUAAAUUACUUGUGAAAGCUAUCGCUGCCCAGUUGUCAGGUACGCGUGGCAAUGUCAUUCUUUCACGUUGAAAUCUGUCCACGAAUUCUCUAAGUAGUUCAAAGUCCCCUUGCUUGAUUUUAAAAAUAUCCUCCAUUCUUUUCUCUAUUUUUGAAGCUCCCGAGUGUGCUUUGAUGAAAGAAUCUGCAAGCUCAGCAAAAGAAUUUAUAGAAUUUUCGGGUAAAAGAGAAUACCAAGUUAACGCUCCUUUGGUGAGUGUUUCACCAAAUUUUUUGACUAAGACUGAUUCAAUCUCCUGCUUAGUCAAAUCGUUGCCUUUUACACCCAUUGUGAACGCAGUCACGUGAUCUCUUUGGUCUGUUGUUCCAUCAUACUUUGAAAUAUCAGGCAUUUAGAACUUUUUUGGUAUUGGGAGUGGAGCAGUACUUGGCUUCCAGGGUUGUUGCGAAUAUCUAUCCAUAUCUACCCUUUUGAUUAUGGGCGGCACCCCGGGUAUAUGCUCUAUGUGCUCACUUUGCUCCUUGAGCUGUUUCUGCAAGGUUAGUACUAAAUUUUGCAAAUCAGAAUUAAUGACAUUACCUGGUUCUCUCUCCUGUGACUUACUGGGAGUUCCACCGCUAACUGAAUUAACAAGUCCAGAACGAGGGUUUUCCACAGUGUUAUUAUUUGGAGUAGGUGUGGGUGUUGCAACAGGUAACUGGUUAACGAGUGCCUCAACAACUUUGUUGACCUGAGCAACAAUUAAUUUCUGCAAAGCUUCAUCAACAGCUUCAACAUUUUCAAAUUGAGCAUACUCGUUUAUUUGAGACCCAUCUGGAGUACCCUCACGAGAUUGUCGUAGAGAGUCUUGAGGAGUAGGAACUUGAAUGUUAAUAUUCUGUGGACCUCCCUGACUUUGUUGGUUCUCUUGGUUUCCUGGGGUGUUGUCAUUGUUAUUCGACAUAAUUGAUGCAACAAGGAAGGUUAAGUGAAAAGAAAAUAGAUUAUCAAAUUCUCGGUAACGGAACCAAUUUGUUUAACCAAAAAAUAGAAUUUCAGUCAAAGCUAGAAUUUAGAAGAACACGGGUUACUGAUAAUCAAAAGAAUAUGCAGAGGAAAGUAAUUUGAGGUAAUUAGAGUGUAAUCAAGAGAAAAAUCAAGUAAAUCAAAGUAUAUUCCGAUAAUAUCUCUUGUUCCUACAAUUGAUCAGAUACCUUCCUUUUAUAGGUAUCUUAAAGAUAUGCGUUUUCCCCAAGUCAUAAUGAGGCUAUUAUGAAUAAUUAAAGACAUUGAAUGCUACGUUACAUAAUCAUAAUAAUCAAUACAAAUUCCCUAACGUAUCCAGUAUUUAAUGCCUGUCAAAUUCUGUAUCUGCGCUCUUUACUGUGGUCAGAUCCAUUCUUUUUUAUUCUUGGAUAUAAAUGACUUAAACAGGUACGGCCACCCGUGCCUCUUUCUUUGUCCUUGCUCGUUUCUAUUGUUGCUCGUGCAUCUUGAUUAAUUGUAAUUCUUUGACUAUUUGACCAGUUCACGUGUCUCGACACGUCAUCUUUAUAUAAAUGUAAUUUUUCCCAAUACAGGUAGUUGAGCUCGACAUGUUAAGAGACAAGCUCUCAUCUUAUUUUGAGAAGGAAGACAAGUAAUUAAUUCAACGAAUUUUCUAGUUUCAUUAUUAGAAGGAUUAAACAUUUAUAUGUUUUAGCAUCUUUUUUACUUUUUAUUAUUUUCCGUAGGCCAUGAUCGGCAAAAAAUAUGUAGACACAUUUUGCUUUGACUUUUUCUUUUUGAACUCUUGACGGGAGGUCUAGAGUUUGAACCUUGAAAAUAAAGUCUUUUACACAGUAGCAAUUAAUUAGGAAUAUCAAAGCUUUCAUAGUGAGUUUUCUAUGACAUGAACCAGAAUUAGUCGGACUUGUGUAUUGCAAACAUGAGAUGAUUGAAUCCAAAAUUUGGAUAUUUUAAGAAUUUGAGUAGCUAGAACGUCUUGUUUCGUGGCUGCUCCUAUCAAUGCACUGCCUAGCCGUUUUGGAGAAAAGAAUUCUUUCAGCCAUCGGGAAGAUCUUAAAUUUGAUUAUAAAAAGAAGGUUGUUACUCUGAGAAAAGUUUUAAAACCAUGGCCUAUUACUUUUAUGAUACUUGGAUUCCUUAUCUUUCCUGGAAUUUGGGAAAACCCUUUGACGCAUAUUUUGAUACUGGUCUAUGACUGUAGUUCAAAUAUUGUUUUGUCUCUUUAGGGACUAGAAAUAAUAUAUAACUAGGAAACAUAUUCGUGCUUUGCGCAGUGCAUUACUACUACAACAAUAACAACGGCUCAGUAUAAUCUCACAAGUGGGAUCUGGGGAGGGUAAUAUGUACGCGGACCUUACCCCUACCCCGAGAGACAUAGAGGUUGUUUCCAGGAGACCUUCAGCUCAAGAAAGCAACAAGAGACGAUAUAUUAAUAUUAUCAAUAAACUCAUAAUAAAAUAACAGCAAUAUAAGAGAUACGAAAUACGAAAUGCGCAAUGCAUUACUCAAUUUAGAAAAUCUUUUAUAUAAAUUUUGUCAUCUCAAAUGAGAUAAAAGAAUUUCAUGUAUAUUAAAUAUAAGUAAUUGGUUUCUUUUUUUCAUUAUAUAGUAUAAAAUAAUUAUUUUUCUAAAAAUUUUAUCUGUUGAAAUUUAAAAAAACAUGAAAUAAUAAAAGUUAAAGAAACUAAACACAAACGAAAAAAAAGUUGGCAUCACAGGUCUCUGUUCUGUCCACUAAAAUAAUAUUUUUGUUGUACAUAUAUAUUGUUUACUUCUUCAAUUUUUUCUUUCUUUAGUCUCCUAUGUAUUCUUUUUGUUCGGUAUUUGUCCAUAUUUUCUUACCUUAAUUGGUUUUUCUAUCUCAUGAAAGAAAGGACAAUAUAUUUAUUUUUAUUGGAUUUUCCUUUUUGUAAAAGAAAAUUAUAAUUCUUCCAUGUUUGGCUAGUACUUUUUCUUGUAGGAAAAUGUUUGGACUUCUAUAAAUUGAGGAUCCUUCCUUCUUAUUCAGUGGCAUCCACAAUGUAGCCAUAUGAGGUUCGAGAGUCGUGUUUAGGGAAAGAACUUUACGGGACAAGUAUUAGUGAGUUGCUUGUGUUUUCCUUUUCGUGAGGUUGUUCUCUCGAUAUUUUGUACUCACUUUUUAUAUAAUGGACUGCUCAUCUAGCACGUGGACGUACGUCAGUUGACCGAACCACAUUAAAUAUUUGUGUCUCUUUUGGUAUAUUUCUCUUUUGUUGAAUGAUUUAUCGUCAUUCAAGGUUUCAUUUGCUAGCUUCCGCAUGACACCUGCUUUUUUCGAUCCUAUCACUUUUUUUCCUCCUCUUUUGUCCCUCUCUCCUCUUACUUCAGCUACUAUUUCAUCCCCUUCAGCCACCCUCUGAAAAUUACUCCUAACAGUUUAUAAACUCCCUACAUAUCUCUUUCAGUUUUCAUCUCCCAAUUUUCUGGUAAAUUUCCAAAAAGUUAGCUAAAAGACCAACUCAUUUACAAAAAGAAGAGAUGAAGUACACAAAAGCUCACAAGCAAAGAGACUUUACAAAAAGAGAAAGGAUGAAACAUAGCUUUAAAAAUUGUCGUAAUCACUAAAAAAAAUGCAAGGACGUAGAAAAUACUUCAACGGCAUUUUUUUCUCGUCUCAAUAGAAAAAGGAAAGAAAAAGAGGAACUAAUAUAUGUCCAUGAGCGGGAAGAGGAAGAGGUAGAGCAGCCUCAAUAAAAAAAAGUAUUAGCUAGAGAGAACAGAAGAAAAUUAAAGAAAAAAAAUUAGAGGGUGAAAAUAUUGGGACGUUAUUAACAACUGAUGACGAAUAGUGGAAUUAAAAAAGCAUAACCCCCAAAUCAAUAUUCAUCCAUGCAUCGGACAAGUAUACGAAAAUACACGCUAAUUAGUACAGUAUAUAUGUAAUCAUGAUUUUAUUAAAAGGAAUAGACUUUUAUAUAAAACCCCUAGACCUCAGAGUCCCAGACUCUUACUCAUGUGAUGAUAAAUGAUAAUCUAAUUUUUAGUAAACCUCAUCUUUUUUCUAUCUAAUUUCCAACUCCACCAAAAAAUCACAACAUAUAAACGGGCAGAAUCAUGCAUGUAUAAAAAUAAAGAAACAACAAACAAAGUAGGGGUUAUGGACUUUAAAAGAUGUAACGCUUCCGAAGAGGUGCAACACGUGCUGACAUUUUAAAAUAAGAAAAAUGGAAAAAAAAAUGAGAAAAAGGCCAAAAAAGAGAAAGAUAAAUAGAAUUCCAACACUAUCGAGUAUGCACAUCACUAUAUAUAUUCGUGCUUGGGGGAAACGUCUUUACAAAUACAAAAAUCAAAAAUAUUUAAAAAAUAAAAAUUAAAAAAAGAAAGUUGACGUACAUAAAUAAAAUAAAGGUGUAGACAUUAAUCCCUAUAUUUAGUUUAUUUUUUUGUUCUACCAAGGAAAUAAAAGUUUACAAUAUAAAUACACAAAAAGUAGAACUAACACGCUAAUAAGCAUAAAUAUCGUAGACCGACUAAAAAGUAAGGGAAAAAAAUAUGGAGAAAAGGGGGAAUAAGAACAUAACACGUAUUUGCUAACCUCGAGCCUCUCUUUGAGAGCAUCAGCUUGAUACAAAAAAAAAACUAAAAUCCCAAAAGAAUUACACAAAAGAAAAGAAGAAAAAAUCUAAGAAAAAAUAUGUAAAUUAUGAGUCGAUUAACAAAACAAAAAGAAAAUAUAAACGCACACUAUAAAAAUAGUCAUACUGUCAGGAAUGACAAAAAUAAUGAUUUUAAACAUGUCAAAAAAUUUAGUCUUGUCCAAUUGAACAUGUUGAAUAUCAGCACAUGGAUUUGAAACAAAAAUAAACAAAAAUUAAAAUCACAAAGAGUUGCAGUCCAGUAAGCACAAAGUAAUGAAAGAAGAAUACCUUCUGAUUGACAAUAGCAAAGAGAAAAAUAUGCACACUAUAAGAAUAAUCCCACUCUUAAAAUAACUGAAGCCGAAAGAGGUAUACCUAUUGACUAUUGUGAGAUUGUCAGGUAUGACGGUCGAAAGAGAAAAGAGAGGCUAGGAAAAGGCGUUACUUUUUCCAAAGGAAAAGAGUCGGACGUAACUCAUAAAAUUAAAGAACAAAAGAAGAGGAAGAGGCGUAUUAAAGAGCGGAAGAGGAGGAAAAGGCGCAAGAAUAAAUAAGACAAUUUAUUAGGCGUGACUUUUCGUUUUUUUUUAAUUAGCACAUAAAAUAAAAAGGAAUAUAUGGGAAACUGGCAAAAAAAGGAGAAAAAAGAUAAGGAGAUUUCCUUGUUCAAAAAAGUGCAUCACCUUACCUAAGUCCUGCUUUAUAUAGAUAUAUAGAUGUAGAUUGCAUUUUAGUUAAUGAGGAAAGAACUUUUGUCAAAAAUUAAAGGCGAAUUCAUGACUUAAUUCAAGUCGAC